CAAUAGCGUAUAUUUAAGUUGUUGCAGUUAAAAAGCUCGUAGUUGGAUUUCGGUUGAGAGCGGCCGGUCCGCCGAUGGGUAUGCACUGGUCGGCGCGUCCUUCCUUCCGGAGACCGUCCCUACUCUUAACUGAGCGGGGGCGGGAGACGGGACUUUUACUUUGAAAAAAUCAGAGUGUUUCAAGCAGGCAGCUCGCUCUUGCAUGGAUUAGCAUGGGAUAAUGAAAUAGGACUUUGGUGCUAUUUUGUUGGUUUCGAACACCGAAGUAAUGAUGAGAAGGGACAGUCAGGGGCACUCGUAUUCCGCCGAGAGAGGUGAAAUUCUCAGACCAGCGGAAGACGAACCACUGCGAAAGCAUUUGCCAGGGAUGUUUUCACUGA
rnacentral:rRNA from 1 species